rnacentral:rRNA from 1 species
AGUGGGGAAUAUUGCACAAUGGAGGAAACUCUGAUGCAGCAACGCCGCGUGGAGGAUGACGCAUUUCGGUGUGUAAACUCCUUUUAUAUAGGAAGAUAAUGACGGUACUAUAUGAAUAAGCACCGGCUAACUCCGUGCCAGCAGCCGCGGUAAUACGGAGGGUGCAAGCGUUACUCGGAAUCACUGGGCGUAAAGCGCAUGCAGGCGGUUUAUUAAGUUGGAAGUGAAAUCCUAUGGCUCAACCAUAGAACUGCUUCCAAAACUGAUAAACUAGAGUCUGGGAGGGGAAGAUGGAAUUAGUAGUGUAGGGGUAAAAUCCGUAGAGAUUACUAGGAAUACCAAAAGCGAAGGCGAUCUUCUGGAACAGUACUGACGCUGAGAUGCGAAGCGUGGGGAGCAAACAGGAUUAGAUACCCUGGUAGUCCACGCAGUAAACGAUGAAUGUUAGUCGUUGGGACUCUAGUAGUUUCAGUGAUGCAGUUAACACAUUAAACAUUCCGCCUGGGGAGUACGGUCGCAAGAUUAAAACUCAAAGGAAUAGACGGGGACCCGCACAAGUGGUGGAGCAUGUGGUUUAAUUCGAAGAUACGCGAAGAACCUUACCUAGCCUUGACAUACUACAGAAUUUGACAGAGAUGUUGGAGUGCCUUCGGGAGCUGUAAUACAGGUGCUGCACGGCUGUCGUCAGCUCGUGUCGUGAGAUGUUGGGUUAAGUCCCGCAACGAGCGCAACCCUCGUCCUUAGUUACUAACGGUUCGGCCGAGGACUCUAAGGAGACUGCCUUCGUAAGGAGGAGGAAGGUGAGGACGACGUCAAGUCAUCAUGGCCCUUACGGCUAGGGCAACACACGUGCUACAAUGGUUAGGACAAUGAGAAGCGAUACCGCGAGGUGGAGCAAAUCUAUAAACCUAAUCUCAGUUCGGAUAGCAGUCUGCAACUCGACUGCUUGAAGCUGGAAUCACUAGUAAUCGUAAAUCAGCUAUGUUACGGUGAAUACGU